UCCAGUUUAUCACUGGCAGUCUCUUUAAAGUUCUCAGCUUAACCUGUUAGCAACUAAAGAUAGGGGUUGCGCCCGUUAAAGGACUUAACCCAACAUCUCACGACACGAGCUGACGACAGCCAUGCACCACCUGUGCGGAGUCCGGCCGAACCGAAGAAUCUGAUCUCUCAGACUCGCGACUCCCAUGUCAAGAGCUGGUAAGGUUUUUCGCGGAUUAUCGAAUUAAACCACAUGCUCCACCGCUUGUGCGGGUCCCCGUCAAUUCCUUUGAGUUUUAGUCUUGCGACCGUACUCCCCAGGCGGAUUGCUUAACGCGUUAGCUUCAACACCGAAAAUAUUUAUUUCCGACGUUUAGCAAUCAUCGUUUAGGGCGUGGACUAC
rnacentral:misc_RNA from 1 species